UCGAGCGAACAGAUAAGGAGCUUGCUCCUUUGACGUUAGCGGCGGACGGGUGAGUAACACGUGGGUAACCUACCUAUAAGACUGGAAUAACUCCGGGAAACCGGGGCUAAUGCCGGAUAACAUUUAGAACCGCAUGGUUCUAAAGUGAAAGAUGGUUUUGCUAUCACUUAUAGAUGGACCCGCGCCGUAUUAGCUAGUUGGUAAGGUAACGGCUUACCAAGGCAACGAUACGUAGCCGACCUGAGAGGGUGAUCGGCCACACUGGAACUGAGACACGGUCCAGACUCCUACGGGAGGCAGCAGUAGGGAAUCUUCCGCAAUGGGCGAAAGCCUGACGGAGCAACGCCGCGUGAGUGAUGAAGGUCUUCGGAUCGUAAAACUCUGUUAUUAGGGAAGAACAAAUGUGUAAGUAACUAUGCACGUCUUGACGGUACCUAAUCAGAAAGCCACGGCUAACUACGUGCCAGCAGCCGCGGUAAUACGUAGGUGGCAAGCGUUAUCCGGAAUUAUUGGGCGUAAAGCGCGCGUAGGCGGUUUCUUAAGUCUGAUGUGAAAGCCCACGGCUCAACCGUGGAGGGUCAUUGGAAACUGGGAAACUUGAGUGCAGAAGAGGAAAGUGGAAUUCCAUGUGUAGCGGUGAAAUGCGCAGAGAUAUGGAGGAACACCAGUGGCGAAGGCGACUUUCUGGUCUGUAACUGACGCUGAUGUGCGAAAGCGUGGGGAUCAAACAGGAUUAGAUACCCUGGUAGUCCACGCCGUAAACGAUGAGUGCUAAGUGUUAGGGGGUUUCCGCCC
rnacentral:rRNA from 1 species